rnacentral:rRNA from 1 species
GCUUACGGCCACACCGCCUGGUUCACGCACGAUCUCGUUUGAUCUCGGAAGCGAAGAUAGGUUGGGCCUGGUUAGUACUUGGAUGGGAGACCACCUGGGAAUACCAGGUGCUGUAAGCU